rnacentral:rRNA from 1 species
AGAGCGAACGCUGGCGGCAUGCUUAACACAUGCAAGUCGCACGGGCAGGGGAAACCCUGUCAGUGGCGGACGGGUGAGUAACGCGUAGGAAUCUAUCUCUGGGUGGGGGACAACCGUGGGAAACUACGGCUAAUACCGCAUGACACCUGAGGGUCAAAGGCGCAAGUCGCCUGGAGAGGAGCCUGCGUACGAUUAGCUUGUUGGUGGGGUAAAGGCCUACCAAGGCGACGAUCGUUAGCUGGUCUGAGAGGAUGAUCAGCCACAUUGGGACUGAGACACGGCCCAAACUCCUACGGGAGGCAGCAGUGGGGAAUAUUGCGCAAUGGGCGAAAGCCUGACGCAGCGACGCCGCGUGGGGAUGAAGGCCUUCGGGUUGUAACCCCUUUCAGCAGGGACGAAGCGAAAGUGACGGUACCUGCAGAAGAGCGCCGGCUAACUACGUGCCAGCAGCCGC